rnacentral:lncRNA from 1 species
AGAAUCACGGCGGAUCGGGAAAUGGAGGUAUCAAAACAGAGAAGUCGUAGGUGGUGGUCGACGGUACGGUGGACGAACUCCAAGACUCAGCGGUGACUCGGGGCCGGAAGAACCGCAUGCUCAGCGGCAACGCAACAGCUAUUUCGCCGGAGUCUAGAAGAAGAAAGGGCAACAGGAUUAGGAAAGAAGAAAUCUUAGGGCUCUUGUAUUAAUUGCUUCGAAUGGAGAAUUCUCAUGGGUUUAAGAAGUGGAAACAAAAUCGAAGGAAUUAAGGAAGGAGAGAGGGAGUCAGAGAUGCGGCGGAGCAACGCCGCACUUAGGACGGCGACGACGCUGCAAUUUAAAGGGAGAGAGAGGCGGGCAGUUUAAGGUUGGAAUUAGGGCUCAAUUUAAGUGUGCAAUCGACUUCAGAGAGAGAAAAGGAUUGAGAGAAGAAUAGACUGUGAAUGGGGAGACGACGCCGACCGGAUAAGGGGGAGACGACGCCGACCGGAUUCAUGGGCGACGGCGAUGGGGUGAGGAAGAGGGAGACGUGAGAUGUGAUUUAAAAGUGGGAAUGAGAAUAAAAUAAAUAAAAUAAGUGAUGUGGAUGUAAAUUGCCAUGUAGGAUAUAUAUUUUAAAGCCAAAAGCUCUAGAAUUGCAGGGAUUUUAAACCUUGAAUUCUUAGACACGCCACGUGGGACCUAAAUUUAAGGGGAGCGCAGGGAUCGCUAAUCGUAUUAUAUAUUUGAUUUUAUUAAACAUGUGCCACCAAAAGAAACGCCUCAAGCUCCAUGGAACGGAUGGAGUAAUUUUUAUCUUUUAUAAGCAACCAUUUAUAAUGGGAUAGCCAAAUGAAAAAAAUAGCUAUGUUAUAUGAGACUGAGUCGGUACACUUAAGAGAUGAUUUUACCUUGAGUUGAGCCAAGAAAUUUUAAUUACUGGGCUUUAGUUAUAUGCCUUCAUUGGCUCAAUUUAUUUAAAAAAAAAAAUAAUUUGCACAGAGCCUAAUUCUUUAUUUAAAUGAGCAAGCCCGAUUUUAUGUUUUCAAAUCAGCAGAUAAAUUUUGUUAUUUCAGCAUGUUACUUUUUUUUGGGAGCAAUAUUUCAGCAUGUUAAUUUCCACAGUCGGAAGUAGAUAUUUUUGUAGUGGAAAAUAAUUUAUAGGAUUAGUUACCAUGAAAGGGUUCAUACACGCAACUGAUUUUCAGCAUAUAAAACCCCUACAUAAUGCCCGGCCUCUUAUCAUAAUGAAGGAAAUCUUCCCCACUUACUUGAGAUGAGAUUACUCCCCACCCCUCUAUCAUAGUUACUUCCGCUUAUACUCUCAAUUCAGUUCUUCAUAAUUCAAUCCCUACAGAAACAGAAUCAUAGUCAAAUCCAUCACCGAAACCCAUUGUCACUGCAUAAGGACAAUUUGAAGAAACCACAAUCUAUUUUCAGAUAGAUAUCAUAACAAAAUCAUGUCACAGAUGAUAGACAUAUGGACUUUUACAUCGAUCGAUCACUUGGAACAAAGACUGGAAGAAUGAAAUAAAAACUUACAAGUUUAAUCUUGAUACGGGGAUGUUUGGGCUGUGUUCGACCGGUCCAUGGAGGAGGAAGGGGGCAGCGGUUUCGGCCCUGAUACGAAGAGGAAGAAUCGCAGGUGGUAGUGAGGGUGAGUCGCGGCGGCUUGCCGGAAUUUAGAGCGAAGAGAUAUUAGGGAUUGAGAAAUUGGGGAUUUCCUGUAGAAUCAGAAGGAGAAAGAGGCGAGAUGGGGAGAACGAAGAGGGGAAGAGUGAGGAGCGGCGGCGACGCUGCUGUUGUCGCCGACGAUUGGUGAGAGGCGGCGACCUCCGGUGGGUGCGCCUGUGUGAGUGUGACUCUGCCGUAAGAGAGAGAAACAAAGGGAGAGAUAAAGGGUUGAG